rnacentral:rRNA from 1 species
GACGAACGCUGGCGGCAUGCCUAAUACAUGCAAGUUGAACGAUGAUAUUCUCUGCUUGCAGAGAAUUGAAGAGUAGCGAACGGGUGAGUAACACGUGGGGAACCUGCCCAUGAGAGGGGGAUAACAUUCGGAAACGGAUGCUAAUACCGCAUAAUGCUUUGGACCGCCUGGUCCAGAGACGAAAGACGGCUUUUGCUGUCACUCAUGGAUGGCCCCGCGCCGUAUUAGCUAGUUGGUGAGGUAAUGGCUCACCAAAGCUGUGAUACGUAGCCGACCUGAGAGGGUGAUCGGCCACACUGGGACUGAGACACGGCCCAGACUCCUACGGGAGGCAGCAGUAGGGAAUCUUCCACAAUGGGCGAAAGCCUGAUGGAGCAAUGCCGCGUGAAUGAAGAAGGUCUUCGGAUCGUAAAGUUCUGUUAUUAGAGAAGAACAAGUCAAGGAGUAACUGUCUUGACUUUGACGGUACCUAACCAGAAAGUCACGGCUAACUACGUG